UACUAACACACAUACAAUAAUUCCUCAAUUAAACCUACUUGACAUCUACAUUUCAUCUCAUUCAUAUCGAUUCAUCGCCGCUGUCUGUCUCAAACAUCUGGUCUCAUCCGCUGCCGCUGUCUCCUUCCCUUGUCGAUCGGCACCUACUCGUCAUUGUCGACUCGUCGCGUCAAGAAUGGAUGAUGAGGGAAAUACAAAUGAUGGCUGCUUUGCUGGUGGAAACUGUGAGCCAAGAGAAGUCCAAACCCAGCCCCAGUGAAGUCUGUAUGGAACAACUA